UACGUAGGGACCAAGCGUUGUUCGGAUUUAUUGGGCGUAAAGAGCUCGUAGGCGGUCUGUCGCGUCUGCUGUGAAAAUCCAGGGCUCAACCCUGGACCUGCAGUGGGUACGGGCAGACUAGAGUGCGGUAGGGGAGAUCGGAAUUCCUGGUGUAGCGGUGAAAUGCGCAGAUAUCAGGAGGAACACCGGUGGCGAAGGCGGAUCUCUGGGCCGUAACUGACGCUGAGGAGCGAAAGCAUGGGGAGCGAACAGG
rnacentral:rRNA from 1 species